ensembl:lncRNA
CUCGAAUUCGUGCUGCGCAGUCCUUUUGAAAUGGUAGUAAGCUAUUUGAAAUUGAGAAACUUCUUUUGUGAGGUCAUGCUAAAUAUUGGCGGUUUUUAUGGCUAGAGAGAUUGUGUUGAAAUACCGACGCGGUUUUAAUGCAGGAGGUUAAGAAAUUCCAUUCCAUGUCGACUCUUAAUGCAGAUAUCGCAAGUCUGUGAAGAAAACACUGUAUCUGAUCAAAGGUCUCUAUCCCGACUCAUGUCCUUACGCGUGGAAAAAGAUCAGUCGUUCCUUCCCUUUCUCCGUCAGUAAUGUGGAAACGUCUCUCUCGCAGAUAGCCUACAUAGGACUCCAAAGCACUCAAGUCGCAUAUUCUCGCACAUCUGAAUGAACAUCAUGACCAGAAAUCGGCACAUCCACUUCCGGCGAAACAUCACUCAGCCUCCAUUAUUUUAAGCCGAUGCCUCCAAGACCUUCCACGUCUGAAUAUCGGUGACGUACACAGGAUUGUCGACUCCUGUGCAAUGGCUCCAAACUCCAAGAGGAAUAAAGGAUUCAAUUUUUUUACAUUUCAUCCUAUAUCCACAAUUAUUAGGGGUAUAAAGCCAGGCCCAGUGGACAGGAUGGUUGUACUCUCUGCUAAACCCAAGACUCAAGCAACAACAGAGGGAGUCAAGUGACCGAGGCCUACAAAGAGUUCCCCCCGGCUGAUUAACCAAUAAUCUGCAGUAUGGCCAUCAGCGGUGACGUCCUUCUCACCAACUCAAGCCUCAGGAUGGUCCAAAGUGGAAGCCCACUGUCUUAUCAGCAGCCAGCAGCAACAAGGAGAGACCACUCCUUUCAUGUUGCCCCACCAUGGCCCUCUCUACCCCUUCAGGGAUACCAUCUAGAUGCAAUUUGGGAAUACUGCCCAAUAAAACGCGUCAAUCAUUACCCCUGUGGAUUUGUAAUCCACCCUGAUGCUCCCUGGUUGUGGGCGUCUCCAGACGGACUUGUUUUUGAUCCUUCAGAGUCAGUUCAUUUUGGGCUUAUAGAAAUGAAAUGCCCCAACCUAAAAAGUUAUGUGGACUGUACCUUAAAAUUUAAUCUGGCAAUGUGGAACUAAAGAAAUCACAUGCAUAUUACUGGCAGGUACAGGGUCAGAUGCUCAUUACCGGUUUGACAUGGUGUGAUUUUGUCAUUUCGGUUGAAGAUGACCUGCUGAUUCAGCAGAUUUACAGGGACAAUGAUGUAUGCAAAGUCAUCAGAGAAAAAAUUGACUGUUUUUAUUUCUAUGUUUAUAUGGCAAAAUGCAUGUAAAGUGUCUGUCCCAUACAAUAAAUAACAGCAAUUCAUUGUUACGUUCUUGUCUUUUUUUUUUAUUCUCACACAAAAUAUAAAAUAAAACAUAAAAUAAUGAAAAAUGUAUGAAAGACCUGUAAGUUCACUGUUUGUUACUUUAAAUAAGCAUUAAUAGUACAAGUUUUGGGUUUGUAAUAAACUGCCCCGUCUUCCUUUCAGCCUGUCUAACGUAAACAAAUUCUGUUACACUGUUGUAAACAUCAAUGUUGGAAGUUCGAGCAAGAAAGGUAGUUUGACCUUGAGUCCCGCCCUACCUUCUAUAUCAUUAGUCAGACAUAUUACAACAGCAUGCUAGUUUAAGUUGAUGAAGACAGUGUCGACCCAAACAGAUUUUGCUGCACUUAUUAAAGGACAUUGGUCUUGUUUAUUUUACAAGCAUGGUGCAGGAUUUCGUAAUGAAUACAAUACAGCGGCGUAACCAUGGACUACAUAACGUUACUUGAGUUUAGUCAAUCCUCUGACAACCCGACAUGCACACAAAUACAGCUGGAAAUGCAGUUUCCUUGCUAUCAAACGUAUCCAGUUGUCAUUUCAUUUAGUAAAUAUUUGAUUAAUGCUCCCAGUUAUGGAGAGGGGGAUGGUGGUGUCAAACAGUUUGUUCUCUUUGACUCUUCUAAUCAUCCUUUCUACAUGCACCCUCAGCCGAGCUAUGGGUUGGGUCUGUAAGACAUUCUCCUCUGGCAUCUGAGCCCUCUGAGUGACAAAAGCUACAUGAUAAACAGUCCCAGGUACCAGGUCAUCCACCAGGAAUCCUUUGUCAACCAUAAUGGCCAUCUCGGGGGCUUAAAAGAGAUGUAAUUUGUGACUGGCGAAACACUUCCUUGUCACUCAUGGAGCCUUCAAAGAGGGUAGAUACAAAUGUAAGGGCUCCGUGAGGGGACAUGCCAACCAUGGCCUUGAAGGUGCUGUGUGACUUGUAGGUUGAGAAAACCUCAUUCUGCAGCAGGAGGGAAGAGGGUGUCUGACAUCUAAGUUCUGUGCAGUCAGCGAUUACUUAGGGGUUGGUGUAUCGGCCAUCAAGAAAAGGAACAGCUCAUCUAUUGGCAGCAGUUUCUAAUGGGUGAGAAAAGUGCAAGGAUUUAGUACAGAUUAAAAAAAUAUUAGACACCCCUGCCCUUUGCCUCACAGUGGUUUGAUCCACUGCCCCCCAACCCUCAGCAGGGGCACAUCCUGCAGGUACAGUGUAUAUGGGAAUCUGUCAAUCUGUCAUUGGUGGUGGACUUUCAGUAAGGCAGUCAAACAAAGCAUAUGUUAGACAUUUCUUUACUUCUACCACUCAAUAUAAUAAAAAAUAAAUAAAUCUAACAAUCACCAGCCUUCACUUUCGCUGCAUUGAAUUAAAGGUCACAUUUUAUGUUAGCUAGCAUUUAGCUGAUCCUUGGUAGCAAGCUACAGUAAUAUCAACCAGCUUUUGCAGCUGUUUUAAUUUGAGUCAAUGAGAGAAGCUUGCACUGCAGUGUAAGUAGUGUUCCUUAGCUGGCAAGGUGACAUGUGUUCGUGUCUACUGUCUGAAAGGCACUCAAUUCACAUAGCUAACGUGAGGCUAGUAAAUUUGUUUUAUGUUGGUAGGGUUCACACACAAUAGCUGAAUUUGCAGAGCUACAGUAGCAAGCAAACUGAUGGCGCAGACUAAAACAGUAUUAGCAAAAAUUGCUCUUGAGAACAUUUUAUGUAAUUGUCCCCUCCAAACUUCGCCCUGGCACCAGCGCCCGGCGGCAGGGGGUGGGGUAUUUUGACCCAUUACUCACUGUUAAUUAUUUAAGAUCUACUCCAUUCGCCUUAUUCACCUACGGCACUUCCUUUUAACCAAAACGAGGCUGAGGGGUACGGAAGUAACUUUGACUUCUGUCAUAACAUUACCUACAAUGCCGCCGCAUUGUUGUGUUCCCAAAUAUACGUCUUCAAAGAGAAAGAAAUCCUAUUGUUAAGAAUUUAUACGUGUAUCAGAGUUUCUGAAGAAGGACGAGGCUCCGGUCCAAAUUGAAAUUUAGCACAAAGAUUUAUUAAUAAGAAUUGAUAAGUCAAAAUACAUGAAAUACACUGCAGCGGUCAAAUAUUUGCUCAACCCUCGAGCUUCCACAAAAUAUUUGCACCGAAAGAAGAUCGAACAUUGGUUUUAAUACUUCCGCCACAGGGGCGGUUACUUUUCACUCUCGUGAGUAAAACCCAUCCUUGUUGGCUCUUCGUUGGCCUGGUGACAUGUUGGACGAAUCUCUUGGUUUUCGCCAUCCAAUGAGGAAGGACGUGCUCUCACUCUCGGUCAUAGAUCAACAGGUUAUUUGCAUACAGGUGUGAAAUCUUAACCAGGUUACAGUAAUUUACAUUCUAUUGUCCUAACCUAGACUAGAAUAUCAGGGGGCUGGAGACAGAAGGUCUCUUUGUGCUGUAUAGGAGGCAGUUUCAUUUGUAUGUUAAUUGUGGGGUUUUAAUCCUGUCUCUCUAUCUGAGCCAGGUGUAAAGUCUGAGUGAGUGUGGCUGAGUGUAAUGUAAACUUUUUAUGGUUAUUGUAUUCAAU